UGGGGAAUAUUGGACAAUGGGCGCAAGCCUGAUCCAGCAACGCCGCGUGGAGGACGAAGGUCUUCGGAUUGUAAACUCCUGUCAGGGGGGACGAAGGUCCGCCGGUGAAUAAUCGGCGGACUUGACGGUACCUCCAGAGGAAGCCCCGGCUAACUCCGUGCCAGCAGCCGCGGUAAUACGGAGGGGGCGAGCGUUAUUCGGAAUUAUUGGGCGUAAAGGGCGCGUAGGCGGCCCGGUAAGUCAAAGGUGAAAUCCCUCGGCCCAACUGAGGAAUUGCCUUUGAAACUGCCAGGCUCGAGGCCGGGAGGGGGUAGCGGAAUUCCCAGUGUAGCGGUGAAAUGCGUAGAUACUGGGAGGAACACCAGUGGCGAAGGCGGCUACCUGGACCGGUUCUGACGCUGAGGCGCGAAAGCGUGGGGAGCAAACAG
rnacentral:rRNA from 1 species